GAUGAACGCUGGCGGCGCGCCUAACACAUGCAAGUCGAACGGAGUGGCGAACGGCUGAGUAACACGUGGGCAACCUGCCCUCCUCUUGGGGAUAGCCUCGGGCAACCGGGAUAAUACCCGAUAGAGAAGGAUGGCCCGCGGCCUGUUAGCUUGUUGGUGGGGUAGAGGCCUACCAAGGCAAUGAUGGGUAGCUGGGUUGAGAGACCGACCAGCCAGAUUGGGACUGAGAUACUGGCCAGACUCCUACGGGAGGCAGCAGGGGGGAAGCUUGAAAAAGGGGCGAAAGCCUGAUGCAGCGAAGCCGAGGGCGGGACGAAGGCCUGAGGGUUGGAAACCGCUUUGAGCAGGGACGCGGUACAUGCAGAAGAAGCCCCGGCUAACUACGUGCCAGCAGCCGCGGUAAUAC
rnacentral:rRNA from 1 species